GAGUUUGAUCAUGGCUCAGGAUGAACGCUGGCGGCGUGCUUAACACAUGCAAGUCGAGCGAGAAGUUUAUGAACGAAUCUUCGGAAGAGUGAAUAAACGGAUAGCGGCGGACGGGUGAGUAACGCGUAGGCAACCUGCCUCAUACAAAGGGAUAGCCUCGGGAAACUGGGAUUAAUACCUUAUAAUACAUUUUAUGUGCAUAUGUAAGAUGUCAAAGAUUUAUCGGUAUGAGAUGGGCCUGCGUCUGAUUAGCCAGUUGGUAGGGUAACGGCCUACCAAGGCGACGAUCAGUAGCCGACCUGAGAGGGUAAACGGCCACACUGGAACUGAGACACGGUCCAGACUCCUACGGGAGGCAGCAGUGGGGAAUAUUGCACAAUGGGGGAAACCCUGAUGCAGCAACGCCGCGUGAGUGAAGAAGGCCUUUGGGUCGUAAAACUCUGUCGAAUGGGAAGAAAAAAAUGACGGUACCAUUUGAGAAAGCCCCGGCUAACUACGUGCCAGCAGCCGCGGUAAUACGUAGGGGGCAAGCGUUAUCCGGAAUUAUUGGGCGUAAAGAGUGCGUAGGCGGUUUUGUAAGCGAGAGGUGAAAGGCAAUAGCUCAACUAUUGUAAGCCUUUCGAACUGCAAGACUUGAGUGCAGGAGAGGAGAGCGGAAUUCCUAGUGUAGCGGUGAAAUGCGUAGAUAUUAGGAGGAACACCAGUGGCGAAGGCGGCUCUCUGGACUGUAACUGACGCUGAGGCACGAAAGCGUGGGGAGCGAACAGGAUUAGAUACCCUGGUAGUCCACGCCGUAAACGAUGAGCACUAGGGUGUCGGGGGAGCGAUCCUUCGGUGCCGCAGUUAACGCAAUAAGUGCUCCGCCUGGGGAGUACGCACGCAAGUGUGAAACUCAAAGGAAUUGACGGGGACCCGCACAAGCAGCGGAGCAUGUGGUUUAAUUCGAAGCAACGCGAAGAACCUUACCAAAACUUGACAUCCCUCUGACCGGCUCGUAAUGGAGCUUUCUCUUCGGAGCAGAGGAGACAGGUGGUGCAUGGUUGUCGUCAGCUCGUGUCGUGAGAUGUUGGGUUAAGUCCCGCAACGAGCGCAACCCUUGUCAUUAGUUGCCAGCAUUACGGAUGGGCACUCUAGUGAGACUGCCGGGGAUAACUCGGAGGAAGGUGGGGAUGACGUCAAAUCAUCAUGCCCCUUAUGUUUUGGGCUACACACGUGCUACAAUGGUCGGUACAAAGAGAAGCGAGAUAGUGAUAUGGAGCAAAUCUCAAAAACCGAUCCCAGUUCGGAUUGUAGGCUGCAACUCGCCUACAUGAAGUUGGAGUUGCUAGUAAUCGCGGAUCAGAAUGCCGCGGUGAAUGCGUUCCCGGGUCUUGUACACACCGCCCGUCACACCAUGGAAGUUGGGGGCGCCCGAAGUCGGCUAAGAAAUAUGCUGCCUAAGGUGAAACCAAUGACUGGGGUGAAGUCGUAACAAGGUAACCG
rnacentral:rRNA from 1 species